CUGAUGGCGGCGUCUGGGUGGAAAUCGGAGUCGAUCGCCCAAUUCCCCUCCGCACCAAUGGGGUGUUCGAGAUGGGGCAGCGCCUAAGUGUCAG
rnacentral:ncRNA from 1 species